AAUUGCUGCCGCAGACCUUCGACCUCCCGACCCAUGUUGCAAGAAUACCAUGUCAUAACCGGCAAACCAACCUUGAUAAGGGGACAUCUCUUCUCAAUAAAAACACCCGAAGCAAAGGAAUGAAUUAGUUACAAAGUUUUGAUUGGGGGAGACCGAAAUUUAAAGUUUCUUCUACAUAAACAUUUCCUUUGCUUUCAAUGUCCCGCGGAUCUGAUUCAAUCUAAUUUUGUUUGUUAUUUUCUUCACUUAUAUAUAUAUAAAAAAUAAUUGACUCAUGUA